UGAUAAUUAGUUUAACAAAAAACAAAUGAUUUCGACUCAUUAGAUUAUGACAGUACUCAUAAUUAUCAA
rnacentral:tRNA from 1 species